GGUUCGAUGGUGUAGUUGGUUAUCACUUCUGUCUAACAUCGCUGCGAUGGUGCACAGGCGGUCCUCAGUUCGAACCUGGGUCGAAUCA